rnacentral:rRNA from 1 species
CCGUAGCCCAAGAGAUCGGGAUAACACCUGGAAACAGAUGCUAAUACCGGAUAACAAUAGAUGAUGCCUAUCAACUGUUUAAAAGAUGGUUCUGCUAUCACUCUUGGAUGGACCUGCGGUGCAUUAGCUAGUUGGUAGGGUAACGGCCUACCAAGGCGAUGAUGCAUAGCCGAGUUGAGAGACUGAUCGGCCACAUUGGGACUGAGACACGGCCCAAACUCCUACGGGAGGCAGCAGAC